AGCCCCCUGGUUCUCAGGCCUUCAGGUUUGGACUGGAACUACACUCCUGGCUUUCCUGGGCCUCCAGCUUACAGAGGGCAGAUUGGGGGACUUCUCCGGCUCCAGAAUUGCAUGAGCCAAUCCCUCACAAUAAAUCUCCUUUGUAUAUCUGUCUAUCUAUAUAUAUCCUAUUGGUCCUGUUUCUCUGGAGAAGCCUGACUUAAUACAAAGAGGAAUAUGGUCUAACUGGAAUUUCAGGUGUCAGAAGGAACAGGAGGUGUGGGGGAAGAUGAGGGGUAGGGAGGAACAUCACAGAGAAGCUCUGAAGUCACACUGAGGAGGUGUCACCGACGUGAGCCACACACAGGACGAGGCCAGGUACUACGGGGUAGACCAGUUGUUCAGGAGAAACCACCUUUGAUAGGCUACUUAACCAGGGGACAAGGGUGACCCAGGUGCUGCCAGCUCUAUCUGGUGUGGCCUCAGUAGUGCUCCAUGCUGGGGGACAGGGGCUCUGUCUCCCAGAGGAGAAGAUCUUCUCUACAAAGGGGCUUCAUACACAGGGUUGAGGAAAGUAUCUGGAUACAGAAAAUGGCAUCAGCAGUUCUGACUGGCCCCAGGUGUGUCCCUUCCUUUUCACCCCAGGAGAAACUCAGUGUGUGAAGUGGACCAGGGCACAGAGAAAACCAAGGAAGAAUUUGCCAAACAGGGAGAAGAUGAGGGCACCCAGAGCUGAGCACUGCCAGCAUCCUGCAGCCGGAGGAGGCAUCUGGCAAGAAGGAGAGCCACUAUUUGGUAAACCCACCCACAUGUCUGCCAGAGAUGUUAGGAAUUCCUCACCUGAUUCCUGGCCACAGAUGCUCCUGUAACAAGCGGUGAUUCACCUCCCUGGCAGUGCCAUGGAGCUAUCUGGCUCUGCCUGUGUGUGGUUUGUGGGGUCCAGGGUUUGGCACAGAGGGAGAAGGGGGAGGGGAAGGGUGCCCACUGUUUUCCAGCACCGCGUCUCUGGCUUAACCAAUAAUAGUUGUUUUCUUUCAAACAUCAGAAUUCCUGAAUUGUAGUUACAUUUUUUUUGAGAAGGGAUCGCAGAAAUAGAGAUGUAAGGAAUCUCCACGUUCAAAAGCACAGCCCAGAGCAGACCUACGGGGGCAAGUCCAGCCCUGGGUGACCAGUAAAUAGCGCUCCAAUCAGUGUGCACAUACAUAUGGUCACAUCCCUUCUACUUUUGCCAUUAAUACUCAGACUUUGUCUAACUGUCAGGAAACCCAUUUAUCUCCUUCAUGGGGCUCUCCCUCUCCCUCCUCACCCCAAGAGGUCCACACCAUCUGAGCAGAGAAAAACAUCAAGUCUAAAAUGUCUUUGCUUCUGAAGGCCACCGAGCACUGUUGCUGGAAACCGUUCCUGCUUGAUUCCGCCAGCCAUCUCCGUCCACCACCUGGCAAGAGUUGUGCACAAGAGGCUUGGGCUCUUAGAGGUGGGGUCAGCCACUUCCUCGGGACUAAAUCUAGCCCGGAGGGCCCCAAACGUGAGUCCCCCUGUGUAUUGGUUUCCUAACGCUGCCAUAACAAAUGACCACAAACUGGGUGGCUUAAAACAAUGGAAAUUACUCUCUCACAGUUUUGGAGGAUGGCAGUGUGAAAUCAAGGUGUUGGCAGGUUGGUCUUUCUGGGGUUCUGAGGGUGGACCCUUUCCAUGCCUCUCUCCUAGCUUCUGGGGGCCGCCAGCAAUCCUUGGCUGGCAGCUGCGUGAUUCCAAUCUCCACCUCCUUCACGCGGCCGUCUCUGUGUUUCGCCUCUGCUCUUCUGUCAUUGGAUUUAUGGCCCACUUGGUUAAUCUGGAAUGUUUUCAUCUCGAAAUCCUUAACCUAAUUACAUCUGCAAAGGUACGUUUUCUGAAUAAGGUGAUAUUCACAGGUUCUGCUGGACAUAUCUUUUAGGGGAGCACCAUUCAAUCCAGGUGUAUUAGUCAGCUCAGGUUGCCAUAACAAAUACCAAGGACUUGGGGGCUGAAACAACAGACAUUUAUGUUCUCACAGUUCUGGAGGCUGGAAGUCCAAGAUCAAGGUGUCAGCAAGGUUGGUUUCUCCAGAGGCCUCUCUCCUUGGCUUGCAGACGGCCACCUUCUUACAGUGUCUUUGCGUGGUCCUUCCUCUGUGGGCAUAUCCCUGGUGUGUCUCUGUGUGUCCACACCACCUCUUCUUAUACAGUCACCUGUCAUGUUGGAUGAGAGGCCCAACCUCUGACCUCAUUUAACCUUAAUCCCUUCUAUAAAGGCCUUAUCUCCAAAUGCAGUUACCUUCUGAGGUUCAGGGUGUUAGGGCUUCAACAUAGGAAUUCUGAGGGGGCACAAUUCAGCCCAUAACAAGGAGGUGGUUUUUAGACACAGACCUUGCUGAGGAAGAGAAAAAGCAAACGUCUAUUCUCUGGUGACUCACCCCCUGCUCUGGUGCCCCGUCCACCUCAGAGGACACAGGGCGUGUGGCUCUGUCCCAGGGCUACACAUGCCAGGCCCUGCCCAGCACGUCACUCACAUUAAUCAGGUACCGGCCUUUCCUUCCCUCUUCAGUGUCACCCCCUCUGGUGCAUUUGGGCAGGCGUGACAGCAGAAGGAGGUGGGUUGCCCGCGCGGGGUCCAGAAGCCCCUGUCUGACCACUGCCUCUCCAGCUGGGCAUUCCUCCUGCUCUGCCAGGGCCACUCCUCACCCCACUGUCGACCACAACUCAGAGGGACCCGUGGCUGCAGUCCCUGCGGUGCGGUGGGGGGAGGAAAAACCCAGGAGACCCCACCUCUCUUGGUGGCCCCAUCCGUUACUCCAAUCUGUAAAAUCACCAUAUUGUUAAAAAAGUUCUGUCUGUUGGGGUACUUUUGGUGGCAAGUAAGAGCCAAUCUAACUCAAAGUGGUUUUAACAGUAAGAACUUAUUGGUCCGCAUAAAUGAAAAGCCCAAAUGUGGAGUGGGCUUCAGGCAGGGGUUGAUCCAGCAGUUCAACAAUGCCACCAAAAACCCAUAUUCCUUUCCAUUUCUUGUCCCUGUUUGUCUUCCUGGUAUUGGUUUCAACCAAGGGCUCUGUCCUCUUCGGUUACAAGAUGGUCACGAGCAGCUCCUGGGAUAAGCUGCCUCCAUCCCACAGAGCAAGAAGAGAAUACCUUCCCCCAACUGGAUCAGAGAGCCUAAGCAUCCUUCUGAUGUGGACCACAUGCCCAUCUCUGAACUAAUCAGUGUGCCUGGGGGUAGGGUGGGACUACUUUAGAAAACAAGGACCCAUUUCUGGAGCUGGAGGGCGGUGGUAGAACAGCCACUCCACCCAAACCACGCACUGCCUUGCAAGAAUUGAGCCACAGAGGCAGGCUGACAUAGAUGAUUCGGGGUCAGCUUCACCAUCCACUGCAUCCACAAGUUGGAUGUGGAUUGUGCUGAAGAGCAGAGAAAACAAAACAUAUUACAGCAUGUGUUGCAGGUGAGAUUGUAUGUAUGUAAAAUACACCUUGACCUCUGAUCCAGGGGGAAAGUCUUUAAGGAAUACCCUUGUCGUAGGCAGAAUUAUGGCGUCCCAAGAGAUUCCACGCACUAAUUCCUGAGAUUAUGAGUAUGCUAUCUUGUCCAUGAAUGUGGUACCGUACAUGACAAAGGGACUUUGCAGAUGUGAUCCGUUGACCUUAAAAUAGAUUAUCCUGGAUGAUCUGGGUGGGCCCGAUAUAACCACAUAAGCCCUUAAGACGAGGGGCAGAAGAGGAAGUCUCAGAAUUGCAAAGCACAAGAAUGAGUCAAUGCACUCAUUGACUCAACCCGCUCCAGGGAGGCCCUGGACUGACAGUAAACCCAGAACAGGGACUUCCGUCCUACAGUUGCAGGGAACCAAAUUCUGCCAACAAUCUGAGUAAGCCUGGGAGUGGAUUCACCCCCAGAGCCUCCAGAUAACAGUCUUGAUUCCAGCCUAUGAGCCCCUAAGCAGAGGGUCCCACUGAGCCUGCCUGACUUCUGACCUGCAGAAUUAUGACUGGGUGUCACUACCUUUGUGGUCAUUUGUCAUACAGCAAGAAAACACAAUGAAUACAGUGAGGAAGGUAAUCGUAUUAGUCAGAGUUCUCCAGAGAAACACAACCAAUAGGUGAUAGAUAGAUAGAUAGACAGAUAUUAUGAGGGAUUGGCUCACUUGAUGAUGGAGGCUGAGAAGUCCUACAACCUGUUCUCUGUACGCUGGAGACCCAGGAACGCCCGUGGUGUGGUUCCAGUUCAACCCUGAAGACCCGAGAAUCAGGGGACAGACGGUGUAAGUCCUAGUCCAAGUCCAAAGGCCCAAGAACCAGGAGCCCCAAUGUCCCAGGGCAGGAGCAGAUGGACAGCCUAGCUCAAGGAGGGAGAGUGAACACGCCCAUCCUCUGCCUGCUUACUCCGUUCAGACCUCAGCAGCUUGAGUGAGGCCCCCCUGCGUGGGUGAAGGCGAUCUUCUCUACUCAGUCUACCUAUUCAAGUGCUAAUCUUUUCCCCAAACACCUUUACAAACACACCAGAAACAAAGUGUUACCAGCUCUCUGGUCAACCGUUGGCCCAGUCAAAUUGACACAGAAAAUUAACCAUCACAGAAUUAUUAUUUCUCUGUUUUACAAAUGAAGAAACCAAGGCACAGAGAAGUUAAGUGACUUGCAAAAGGUGGCACAACUAGGAGAUGAUGGUACUGGCCCCUUGAAACCAGGUAGGCUCCAGACCCUAUGCUUGUAACCAUUAUGCCAUCCUGGUAUAACCAUUAUACCUCCAGUUUGGAGAUGAGGGGCAGGUUUUUUUCAGGCGAGAAGUCAUCAGGCAGUGGAUUUCUAAACCAGGUUUUCAGAGCACACCUUGCAGAUCUCACGUGCCAACACUGGAUGCUACAUUCGAAGGAGAGGUUCCAUCUUCAUUUCCAGAACUGACAGCCUCUGAGGUCUCUGGGAUAGACUUUCUCCUUGUUGCCUUAUAGCACAUGUGGCUUGCAGAAAUGUGUUAAAUCGGAUUUUGCCAUCUGAAGCAGGAAGAGGAUUAUAAUAGUAACCAGUAUCCACUCUGCCCUCUCUACAUACCAGGUACCCCGCCUUUUGCAAACAUUGUUUCCUUCGAUCCAGUCAGGGGCCCUCUGGGAUGGACAAGGAAGUUUCUCAGUGCAGAUGUACGUAAACUCAGCCUCAGAGAGGCCCAGGGAUCAACCAGUCAACAAGCAGGAGAGCCGGGCCCCAAAGUCCCAAGCCCAAGUCACACCAUCCACCCACCAGUAAGAGGAUGACGGCCAUCAAAGUGGGCUCGGCAGCCUCCAGAUGUGACAAGGGCGGAAAAUGAAAGAGGGUGUGUGGUGACAUGUGAGUGGGGCCUGGCCCUGCAGUAGAGACUUAGGAAAAGCUAGAGAGAAAAGAAAGUCAUUUCUUUGCAGCUUGAGGUGGUGGGUACAACACCGUCAUAAGCCCUCAGUAAGCGAAGGGCUGAGUUCAUGGUAUGAAAUCUGGGAGGGGUUUAUGGGAAGAGGGGGCACAACACACUUAUCCCAGGGGGCUGUGAAAACAGAGAGUCCAGAACUCCACCCCAGUUCUAUCAAAUUAGAAUCUGUGGGGCUGUCACUAACACUUCCAUUUUUUGUUUUUUUUCUUUUCUUUUCUUUUCUUUUUGGCCACACCACGCAGCAUGCAGGAUCUUAGUUCCCCGACCGAGGACCGAACCCACAUCCCCCGCAUUGGAAGCUGCAUUGGAAGCACAGAAUCUUAAACGCUGGACCACCAGGGAACCCCUGGCAAUCCAAUUUUUAAUAAGCCACCAGGGAAGCCAUAGGUACACUGAAGUUUAAGACUUCCUGGCUGUUGGGCUUCCCUGGUGGCGCAGUGGUUAAGAAUCCGCCUGCCAAUGCAGGGGACACAGGUUCGAGCCCCGGGUCUGGGAAGAUCCCACAUGCCACGGAGCAUCUAAGCCCAUGCACCACAACUACUGAGCCUGUGCUCUAGAGCGAGCCACAACUACUGAGCCCGCACGCCUACAGCCCAUGCUCUGCAACAAGAGAAGCCACCACAGCGAGAAGCCCGCACACCGCAACGAAGAGUAGCCCCCGUUCACCACAACUAAAGAAAGCCCACGCACAGCAACAAAGACCCAACGCAGCCAAAAAUAAAUAAAUAAGUUAAUUAAUUAAAAAAAAAAAACGUACUAGCUGUUAUGGGUUGAAUUGUAUCUCCUGCAAAUUCAUAUGUUGGAGUCCCAACUCCCAGUACCUCAGAAUGGGACCUUUCUUGGAGAUGAGGUCUUCAAAGAGGUAAUCAAGUCAAAACGAGGUCAUUAGGGUGGGCCCUAGUCCUAUGUGACUGGUGGCCUUAUAAGAAAGGGAAAUGUGGACACAGACACGCACAUGGAAAACGAUAUGAAGAGACACAGAGAAGACGGCCGUGGACAAGGUAAGAAGAGAGCCUGGAAAAGACACUUCCUUCACCGCCCCCAGAAGGAACCAACCCUGCUGGUACCUUGAGCUCAGACUUGCAGGCUCCAGAACCGUGAAACCAUAGCUGUCUGGUGUGUAAGCCACAGAGUGUGUGGUACUUUGUGACAGAGGCCCUAGUAAAUGAACACACCGGCCCCACGGAGAAAGGGACCUUUGCAGGACGUGUAUCUGCCAUGGGCCUGGGGCAGGGUGGGUGUGGGCACCCAGAAUGUUCCCAGCCACAGCUCAAAGAUAAGACUAGUGCUCUACUUCCCUCCAAGCAGGGAGAAAGCUUUUCACACCAAGUUCUUGCAGUGAAGAAAUCUGAGAGCAGCAGCAAAGCCAGUGUCUGUUUUCUGGGACAGGGAGGAAGGAUGGAACGAAGCAUCUGACUCCGAGAAGCAGAAAAAUGUGGAGGGGCGGGGUGGGGGAGGGGGGAGAGAGAGAUUGAAAGUGGAAAAAGAGAGAAACGGGGAUCCUGGGAGAUCAUGGUUUUCAUUCCUUAUUUGUUCUUAACUUCUAGGCUGGUGCUACAGAGGGCGUCUUCUUUUCUGACCUGCAGGAGCUCGAAAAUAGGACUGGGUUGGCAUUCGGAGCACGUCUCUUACUUUGUAAAAUAAAUGCUCCUCUGAAAGUC